GAUGAACGCUGGCGGCGUGCCUAAUACAUGCAAGUAGAACGCUGAAGGAAGGAGCUUGCUCUUUCCGGAUGAGUUGCGAACGGGUGAGUAACGCGUAGGUAACCUGCCUGGUAGCGGGGGAUAACUAUUGGAAACGAUAGCUAAUACCGCAUAACAGUAGAUGUUGCAUGACAACUAUUUGAAAGGGGCAAUUGCUCCACUACCAGAUGGACCUGCGUUGUAUUAGCUAGUUGGUGAGGUAACGGCUCACCAAGGCGACGAUACAUAGCCGACCUGAGAGGGUGAUCGGCCACACUGGGACUGAGACACGGCCCAGACUCCUACGGGAGGCAGCAGUAGGGAAUCUUCGGCAAUGGACGGAAGUCUGACCGAGCAACGCCGCGUGAGUGAAGAAGGUUUUCGGAUCGUAAAGCUCUGUUGUAAGAGAAGAACGAGUGUGAGAGUGGAAAGUUCACACUGUGACGGUAUCUUACCAGAAAGGAC
rnacentral:rRNA from 1 species